GACGGAGGGUGCUAGCGUUGUUCGGAAUUACUGGGCGUAAGGGGCGCGUAGGCGGUCUCGUCAGUCGGGUGUGAAAGCCCGGGGCUCAACCCCGGAACGGCACCCGAGACGGCGGGACUGGAGACCGGGAGAGGAGGGUGGAAUAGCCAGUGUAGAGGUGAAAUUCGUAGAUAUUGGCUGGAACACCGGUGGCGAAGGCGGAUCUCUGGGCCUUGCCUGACGCUGAGGCGCGAAAGCUAGGGGAGCGAACAGG
rnacentral:rRNA from 1 species